CCUACGGGAGGCAGCAGUGGGGAAUAUUGCACAAUGGGGGAAACCCUGAUGCAGCGACGCCGCGUGAGUGAAGAAGUAAUUCGUUAUGUAAAGCUCUAUCAGCAGGGAAGAAAAUGACGGUACCUGAGUAAGAAGCCCCGGCUAACUACGUGCCAGCAGCCGCGGUAAUACGUAGGGGGCAAGCGUGAUCCGGAUUUACUGGGUGUAAAGGGAGCGUAGACGGCAGUGCAAGGCUGGAGGUAAAGGGGGGGGCUUAACCCCCGGACUGCUCUGGAAACUGUACGGCUGGAGUGCAGGAGAGGUAAGUGGAAUUCCUAGUGUAGCGGUGAAAUGCGUAGAUAUUAGGAGGAACACCAGUGGCGAAGGCGGCUUACUGGACUGUAACUGACGUUGAGGCUCGAAAGCGUGGGGAGCAAACAGGAUUAGAUACCCCAGUAGUC
rnacentral:rRNA from 1 species